CUUAAGCAUAUCAAUAAGCGGAGGAAAAGAAACUAACAAGGAUUCCCUUAGUAACUGCGAGUGAAGAGGGAAGAGCUCAAAUUUAAAAUCUGACAGUGUUGACUGUCCGAGUUGUAAAUUAGAGAAGUGUUAUCCAUGCUGAUCCUGUGCAAAAGCUUCUUGGAACAGAGCAUCAUAGAGGGUGAUAAUCCCGUCUUUGGUACAGGCUGUUGGCUGUUUGUGAUACACUUUCAAAGAGUCGAGUUGUUUGGGAAUGCAGCUCUAAAUGGGUGGUAAAUUCCAUCUAAAGCUAAAUAUUGGCAAGAGACCGAUAGCGCACAAGUACCGUGAGGGAAAGAUGAAAAGAACUUUGAAAAGAGAGUUAAACAGUACGUGAAAUUGUUGAAAGGGAAACGCUUGAAGUCAGUCAUGUCCUUUUGUAAAUCCACUUGACUUCGGUUGGGUGUACUUUCUCUUGGACAGGUCAGCAUCAGUUUUGGUUGUUGGAAAAGGGGUUUAGAAAUGUGGCAUCUCUCGGGAUGUGUUAUAGUCUGGACUCAUAUACGGCAAUUGGGACUGAGGAACUCAGCACGACCAGAGAUGGUUUGGGGGUUUACCUCACAUAACGUGCUUUGGAUGCUGGCGUAAUGGCUUUAAUCGACCCRUCUUGAAACACGGACCAAGGAGUCUAACAUACAUGCGAGUGU
rnacentral:rRNA from 1 species